GUACGGCGAGUGAAGCGGGAAGAGCUCAAAUUUGUAAUCUGGCACCUUCGGUGUCCGAGUUGUAAUCUCGAGAAGUGUUUUCCGCGCCGGACCGCAUACAAGUCUGUUGGAAUACAGCGUCAUAGUGGUGAGAACCCCGUAACUGAUGCGGAUGCCCGGUGCUUUGUGAUACACUUUCGAAGAGUCGAGUUGUUUGGGAAUGCAGCUCAAAUUGGGUGGUAAAUUCCAUCUAAAGCUAAAUAUUGGCGAGAGACCGAUAGCGAACAAGUACCGUGAGGGAAAGAUGAAAAGCACUUUGGAAAGAGAGUUAACAGUACGUGAAAUUGUUGGAAGGGAAACGCUUGAAGUCAGACUUGCUAUUUGGAAUUCAGCCGCAAGGUGUACUUUUCAAUUCGCAGGCCAGCAUCAGUUUUCGGGGGUGGAAAAGGGUAGAGAGAAGGUAGCAAUUUCGGUUGUGUUAUAGCUCUUUGCUGGAUUCAUCCUUGGGGACUGAGGAACGCAGCACGCUUUUUGCAAGGCUUUCGAGCUUUUCGUGCUUAGGAUGCUGGUGGAAUGGCUUUAAACGACCCGUCUUGA
rnacentral:rRNA from 1 species